UCCGAAUUGGUGUAGUGGCUAACAUUUGACGCUCUCAAUACUUGCUUUCGAAUGAUACCAUUGUUGGUCGUUGUGUGAUAUAGAAAGUCCCGUCAAGCUCAGGGUUCGAUUCCCUAAUUCGGAG